AUUCCGAUGAUGAUAUAGUUCUCCCAGGCAGGAUACAAACCAUUUCGUCUUCUGGCCGGAGAUGGAUUCACUGCCCUCCCUGCAGACACGCAGGCUCACACACGGAGCACUGGGAAGUACACAUUUACUGUACUGCAUGCCGACUGCCUUGAAGAAACUGUAGCUAACCACCUUAUUAGUAUUCUUGCCUCCACCGUGUCUCACUUGCAGCAUCAGAGGGCUGAGCAAAUGCAGUAGAACAGGGACAGACACAGCUCUGGCAAUCAUAUCAAUGCAGGCUGCCGAAUGUUGGGGGUGGGGGAUGCAGCACAUCAAGAUUAAUAACCUUGCCAUAAUCUGGGGCACCCUGCAAGCAGACACCUCUGCUGAUUGACCUGCUCCUGGCUUGAUGCAUCUGCCUGGGGGAGAGGGAUCUGGAAUCUACCUAGUCCUGGGCUCCCCCUGAUUUUGGAUGUUCAUUUGAUCCUUCACAGAUCUGGGAAGGUAACAGUGAGCGGUACCAUCUGCAGCACACAGCAGCUCUUGGAGGUUACUACUGACAGUUUUCAUUACACUGGUUUGUGUGAGUGCGUGCGUGUGUUUGUGUGUGUUUGUGAGUGUGGGUGCCUGCUGUUGCAUGAAAGAGAAUGUGUGAGUGUCCGUGUGUGUGUGUGUGUUAGUGUGGCAACCAAAGCAGGUAUUUCGUACAGUAGGAGAUUUCAACAGCGUGACAAUAUUCUCUGGGUACUUGGGCUCACAGUCAGUAGCCCCCACCCCCUGCCUUUCGCCACCUCCUUGCUUCCCCACUCCCCCUUCUGCUUUUGCCUUUGAUGAGUUUUUGGCUUACUUUUUGGCGGAGUCUCUUGGACACGUUUUUGCUGGUGCUGGAAGAUCAGAUACAUGGAACCUUUGAAAACUGAUGGUUUUCCUCCGAUAUGACUUAAAAAAAAUAAAAAGAAGAAAAGAAAAUAGAGUAGUGCACGGCAAGCUAGAGGAUUGUAAAUUUCCCUUGGUGAACUUUGAGGAUCCACAAGGAAGAAAUGGUUCUCUUUAUUGUGAGGCUGCAAGGUCACCCAAUGAGAAAGGGGCCAAAUAAGCUGAAACAUCAUCUAAUACACUGAAUGAGUUACUGAAAAAGCAAGGAUAACUUAUGUGGAUUAAUGAUAUGGAAACAUCCUGAAACUACUUUGGAAUCACCAUAAAUUAAGUGGAUUCAAAUUUUGCAAACAGGGAAACCAGUCCAUGAACAAUUUGCUA